rnacentral:lncRNA from 1 species
CAGCAGCAUUCCUUCCUGCAUGCAAUUCCCCAUCCAAAGAAAUGAAGGAGAUUCCCUUCAAUGAAGAUCCCAACCCCAAUACUCACUCAUCAGGACCCUCAACCCCUCUGAAAAACCAAACUUAUUCCUUUUCACCUUCCAAGUCCUACAGUCGGCAGUCCUCUUCUUCUGACACAGAUUUGAGUUUGACACCCAAGACUGGAAUGGGCAGCGGCAGUGCUGGAAAAGAAGGGGGGCCCUUUAAGGCUCUUUUACGACAACAGACCCAGUCCGCCUUGGAACAGCGGGAGUUCCCCUUCCUCACCUUGACGGCCUUUCCCCCUGGACUUCUUGUGCACGUUGGCGGUGUUGUCAGUGCACGCUCUGUGAAGCUUUUAGACCGGAUCCACAACCCUGCCCUGCAAGAACCCUAAGAGCCCAGGAGAGAGGGGGUGUCCUCACAGAAUGAGUUCCGUGUACUGUGCUGUAACUGGCAGCUCCCCAGUUUCCUCCUCCCUUUCAGCAGAGUUGUCCAUCCUGCAUGGCAAGCCUCAGACACUGUCCCCCAGGAACACAUGGACACUCGGGAUGCUAUGGAGUACACUUUUACUUUGCCUUGUUUUCCGUCAAGUCCUUACCAUGUGUAUAUCCUGUGGUUUCAAUAACUUAUUCUGAUUUAAAUAUAUGCUUUUUGGAUCCUUUUGUGUAUAAAUUAAACUAAAUGCCCAAC